AUGCAAGUGAAACUGAGGUUGCUCCUUUAACACCUGUUAACAUGGAGUACCCACCCUACCUUUCUUUUUUUUUCUUUUUUUUUUUUUGUCUCCUUUCAAAUUCCAUGAAGAUAUUUUAAAAAUUAGAAUACCAAGAUACCACCAACAUUAUUCAGACAAUGCACUGAAGAUCCCCCAAAUAAACUGCGACUACUGAAGCGGCUUACAAUCAUCAGUACAAAUUCCAUCAUGAAGUAGGAAUAUUAAAAGAGGAAAAUGCAAUAGCGCCCGGCUGAAUUCAUUGUUGCAUACCACAGAGCAUGGUAUUAUCUGGGGAAACAAGGUAGUCUGGGGAAUUAUAAGAACAAUAGCAGGUUUUUUGUGUUUUCAUUUGUGUGUAUCCCCAGCAUCUAUUCAUUAAUCCUAAUUGUCUAGAAUCCACCUGUGAACUGACAGGAAUUUACAUAAACAGUACAUUGAGGACUUCUCCAAUUAUUUAUCACUACAUAAAAACUACAUCAAAUUUUAUGCCUUAAAGCAAUAACUCAUUAUUUUCUCUCAGAAUUCUGUGGAUUGACCGGGCCUAAAUAGCAGCUGUCAUUUGUGAGAUUUCAGUCAGAUGGCAGCUAAUGUUAUCUGAACAUUGACUGGGGUGGAUAAAGACAUGACUCACUCUGAUGGCAGGUAAUCACCAUUCUCACUGGGUAAUCCCAUUUUCCUGGAGGUCAAGUGGGAUUGUUGCCCAAAGGACCCCCACAUGACCUCCUCAUGAAGGUUGUACUUCUUACCUUUUGGUGGCUGGAUUGUAAAAACUGGAAGAAGCCCAGAAAGAAGUCUCAAAGCCUUUUAUGACCUCACCUUGGAAAUACAACAUCACUUUCACUAAGUAGAAUCAUCAACAAUCAUUAUGAUGGCCUAGAUUUAAGGACAGGUGAAUUUCAUUUCCGCUCUUGAUGUGAGAAGCAGCAUGCACAAAAAAGUAGAAGAACAAACUGAUGGCAGACAUCUUUGUACACUAGCUACCACAAAAGAGCCCCUCAGUUUUCCCAUUGAUGAAAACAAGUCAGACAGAGGACAAAGAAAGAUACAGCGACUCGAAAGUAGGGACGACUAAUGAAGUUCAGACCGGAAGCCCUGAGAGGCGAGAGGAUGGCUGGGAUAAGAGAGCUAAAAUGUGUUUCUGAAACACCGCCAAGAAGCCAUGUCUGAUUCACUGUGAGUAAACAAGUUCUUUAAUCUCCAUCAGAGCCACACAGAUGUCCAG
rnacentral:lncRNA from 1 species